GGGACUUGGCUAGUGGCAAACUGAAACUGUCAUUGACUGGGCAUAUUAGUACAGUGCGGGGCGUGAUAGUGAGCACAAGGAGCCCCUACCUGUUCUCUUGCGGAGAAGACAAGCAAGUAAAAUGCUGGGAUCUUGAAUAUAAUAAGGUUAUAAGGCACUAUCAUGGACAUCUAAGUGCAGUGUAUGGUUUGGAUUUGCACCCAACAAUCGAUGUGCUGGUAACUUGUAGUCGAGAUUCAACUGCUCGGAUUUGGGAUGUGAGAACUAAAGCCAGUGUACACACAUUAUCUGGACAUACAAAUGCAGUUGCUACAGUGAGGUGUCAAGCUGCAGAACCACAGAUUAU